UACGGGGGGGGGCAAGCGUUUGUUCGGAAUUACUGGGCGUAAAGGGCUCGUAGGUGGCCAACUAAGUCAGACGUGAAAUCCCUCGGCUUAACCGGGGAACUGCGUCUGAUACUGGAUGGCUUGAGAUUGGGAGAGGGAUGCGGAAUUCCAGGUGUAGCGGUGAAAUGCGUAGAUAUCUGGAGGAACACCGGUGGCGAAGGCGGCAUCCUGGACCAACACUGA
rnacentral:rRNA from 1 species